GCAGAGGAUUCACCUAUCAGGACUUGUGCUAUCCAUCCAGACUUUCUGAGAGAGAAAUCUACAAGAGCCAGCCCUUAAAAGUGUGGCUUGGUUUCUCAAAGAAGGACCAAAGUUUUGUCAAGAACUCCCAGAUGAAGACCUUCCUAGACCUGUAAAGUGGGAUUACCCAGUUCUUGACUUCACAAGGAAGUUUCAACCAAUUCUGACCUAAUGCCCUACUCUACCGGAGAUCCACAACCUUUCUAAUCCCCACCCCG